GGGACUAGGAGUCAAGGAGGAUUCUGGGAAAUGUAGUAAAAAGACCCAGGCAGGAAGUGACAUAGCAGGAAGACUCAGAAUAUAAGCUGGAAUAAGAAGCAAAUCAUCCUCUUGCUCUUCCUCUUCGUCCUGCUCUGUGCUCUGGAGGCGCCAUGUGAUCCUGGGAAGAGGACGCCAGUGGAAGGUGUCCUCAAUAAGAGAUUCAGGAGAAAGACCACUGACCCAAGAAGACCACUGACCCAACUCAUGGCCAAAUGAAUCAGACUGUUUCUCUGUGAUCGAAAUGAACAACCAAAACUCAGAAUUUCUCUUGUUCUUAUGUUCUUCAUUCAUGCACCAUGGAAAGGAAAGCAGCCCUCUGUGAGGAACGUGGAUGGAUAGUUUGGCAGAUGCUUCAACUGCUGUGUGGCAAGGCCAAGAGGAAGGAAAAUAUAUUCCAUUUUGGAGAUGACAUUUUCAAGUUUCACAUUCUAAUUAUUAGACACUUUCUCACAGUGUUUGCACUGUUUCAUUUUUAGAUGAAAAAUGAUUUAACACCCCAGUGUUAGAACUCUUCAUGAUGACAUAUUAUGUUCAGCUUGGGUCAUUCAAGUUCAAAGGUCCAGAGGACUGGGAAGACUGCUGCAAAGUGGUGUCUUCUGGACACAAGGAUGUUGCACCAAUAAACUCACAGCAGCUGUGGAAGACUGAAUAUUGAGGAGGAGGUACAGGUGGUCCACAGCUACUGGAGAAGGAAGAGUGGGUUUUCUUCAGGGAUGGGGACACUGGUAGGUUGCCGAUGCUCCAGUGGUUAUUCAAAGUACAAGAAGAGCACAUGAAUUUGAGAGCGAGAUGUUUGUGUGAGGAACUGAGGAGUUGUUGGGAAUAGGGUUGGUUAUGAUGAAAUGAGUUGUAUUUGGGUGAAGAUAAUAGCUACUUCCUGUGGGAGGAAAUGUGGAAGAACACUAGGCCAUUUUGCCAAUUCUUUUCCUGAAUUCAUAUGCCUUUCAUGAAAUCAAAGAUUAUUUUGAAAAAGAAGACAUAAUAAAAGCAUAGACAUAAUAAAACAAUGUAAUAUAUAAAAUGAAAUAGAGUAGUUGAUUUUCCUUUUUCUCUAGCAUUUGGUGUUUUUUUAACAGUAAGUGAACUGAGACCAACAGAGCAUUUCUCACCAUGACUGGGCUCCCUGGCAGAUGUUAGAGGGGUACUGGGUGGUGGCUGCAUGCUGUUCUUGUUAUCUGAAUGCUGAAGCCCUCCCCAGUCCUGACCAUCCUUCUUGCUCUUGGGGAAUGCUAGCCAUGAAUCUGCACUUAGAUGAAGGCCUUCACCUACUGAGACAACAAGCUGACAUAGUUUUGCAAGGUGUGUGUGUGUGUGUGUGUGUGUGUGUGUGUGUGUGUGUGUGUGUAAGUUUAUGAGGUCAGAAAUGCCAGGGUGUGUUAGUGUACUGACUGUAAUUGUUAGAUUUGAAAAAUGGGGUGAACCAAGUAAAAGAACAAAGAC
rnacentral:lncRNA from 1 species